UAGGGAACCUUCCACAAUGGGCGAAAGCCUGAUGGAGCAACGCCGCGUGUGUGAUGAAGGGUUUCGGCUCGUAAAACACUGUUGUAAGAGAAGAAUGACAUUGAGAGUAACUGUUCAAUGUGUGACGGUAUCUUACCAGAAAGGAACGGCUAAAUACGUGCCAC
rnacentral:rRNA from 1 species